rnacentral:rRNA from 1 species
GACGUAGGGCGCGAGCGUUGUCCGGAUUUAUUGGCGUAAAGAGCUCGUAGGCGGCUUGUCGCGUCGACUGUGAAACUCGAGGCUCAACUCUGAGCUGCAGUCGAUACGGCAGGCUCGAGUUCGGUAGGGGAGACUGGAAUUCCUGGUGUAGCGGUGAAAUGCGCAGAUAUCAGGAGGAACACCGGUGGCGAAGGCGGGUCUCUGGGCCGAUACUGACGCUGAGGAGCGAAAGCGUGGGGAGCGAACAGG